GGAAGACGCUGCCCCCUCUCCCCGCCCACACCCAAGGAAUCCUGGGAGUUGUAGUUCCUUAAGGGCAGCUGAGAGUCUUGAGAAGACCCUCGUACUCCAAUUCCCAGAGCCCCCUGGGAAAAGGGGUGGCUUGUUAAGGCAACCCCAGGGCAGGUGAAAGGCAGGACUUCUUUCUCCCUGCAUUGUAGGGGGCUGGAAUAGAUGGCCUUUGGGGGUCCCUUCCAAUUCUACAGUUCUAUGGUCCUACGCAGCGCAGAGUGGAACUCUCUUCCGGGUGCCACAAUUUAAGGAGAUUGACAAGCUGGAAGGUGUGCAGAGGAGGGAAAGCGAGAGGAUCAAAGGUCUGGAAUUUAAGCCUUAUGAGGAAUGGUUGAAGGAACUGGAAAAGAGGAGAGAUUAUAGCCAUCUUCAAAUACCUAGAGCAGCGGUUCUCAACCUGUGGGUCCCCAGAUGUUGUUGGGACCACAACUCCCAUCAUCCCUAGCUAGCAAGACCACAGCUCAGGGAUGAUGGGAGUUGUAGUCCAACCACAUCUGGGGACCCACAAGUUGAGAACUGCUGACCUAGAGCAUGUAUAGGUUGAGAGUGUUUGCCCCUCCAGCAGAUAUCAGGCACCUGCAGCCCACUACCAAAAUCAGCACAAUCGCUUUUGUGACUUUUGUGACUUGUCCCCACAAAACACUUCAUCACAGUUUCUUCCUGCCUAUUCAAAGGGCCUUUGCUGCACGAUACCAAAUGUAAGAAUUCACUGAUAAACGUAUCUCUGUGUUAACGGAAAAUCUGAGGGCUCCCUUGGACAAAAACAAAGACACCAACCAGAGCAAUUGGAAGCAAAUCAGCAGCCAGUAGGCUUGGUCUUUAUUGAAGAAAAGACUGUUGCAACAGGGUGUUCCCCUCACUUGCAGGAGAGAGGAAAGACCCAGAAAGAUGGUGUGCAAGACCUUAUAAAAACUUUUGAAAUUCCCCUCCUCUAGGUCAAGCCCACCCCCAGAAACAUCAUGCAUACAUUACAGAAAGGAGGGGUUGAGGGAGGAGUUGUGGUGGUGACCUGAGUGUCCUGUCACCUGGCUGGUUCCUCCUUUCCCCUGCCCAUGAGUCACUUCCAGGAGACAAAGGGGAGUUGGCAGUUUCCUGCCCCCAGAGGGAAGAUCUGAUCAUUGUCCUUUGUUUCAGUCCAUGCUGAAUCCACUCCCAUAUGCAAGUUCUUUGUGAUCUUGAUGGUCUUCUGUCUAGGACCAUCAGGGUUGGCAUAGCAACUGGGCAGGGCUCCUGUGGAUGUGCUGGGAUGGUGAAGGGAUUAUGGCUGACCAGAACCAAGCCACCCCCCUUUGAUAGUCCUUGUCAUAUGGAGUAAAAUAAAAAUGGAACAGUGCAAAUCCAAUGUAUGGUUGAUUUUUCUAUGAAUUUAUAACAGAAGUGUGGCAUAUGUAGUGUGUGAGUGUGAGUGUGUGAAGUUUGUACAAACUGAAUGAUUGGGGUGGGGGGGUUCCUGCUACAGUUCCCCCCUUCGGAGAUAAGAUUGCAAAGGUGGCUACUUUGCAAUCCUUUUCUCCGCACAAUUUAAGGUGGUAAAUAUUAACCUGCUAUUCUCCGUCCCAGAUGCGUGUGUCCAUGUGAACCUGAAAGGGACUUGGAUGUCACGCUUCUUAAGGAUAUUUGCAUAGAAAUAUAACAGUGUAACAGUGCACAUAGUUAGACAUAGGCUAUCACGUAAGAUUAAUAUUUUGUUGCUCAGUUACUUGUGGUAUUCUAGCACCUUGGAAGAAAUAUUUUCUCAAUAGUGGUCUAUGCUUUACAUUUAGCGGGAAGGUCCACCAAUGACUGAAAAAUGCAGUUUGCUUUGUCCCCCGCCAUUUUUGUGUUCUCAGGUGUCAAGGUAGCUCUUCUGUGGUCUCACAUCGGCAUGGUGUCACAGCAGUGGCAAUCCCUGGUGAAUCCACUUAGGGCUUUCACAUUAACCAUGUUGCCUGGCACUCACCACAGCUGGCACAGGUUUAGGACACGUCAUGAGAGAUAUGUCUUUGCCUUGGCCAUUCUAUGGGAUUUUAUUAUUAUAGGCUCUGGUCUUGCAGUCAUGGGAAGUUGCUCACUUGCACUUUAAGGACCAAAAGCUAAUUGCAGCCUGGAUACACUUGCCCAAUUCAAACUGAGUCCAAUUUGAAUUUUUCUUGCCCCAUGGUUCUCAACUUUUCUGUUAAAACAGAACCAUCCAAAUAAGUCAAUUUAACUCUAUAAGGGAUUAUUCCUGCUAAACCAAAGCAUAUACACCUUCCUGAAGCUUCUCCUUGGUAAAGCGAGUUUUAGCACAUUUUUAAAUGGGUAGGGAAGUUGGCAGAGUGCCAGGUGAAACAACGAAAUGUGGUUAUAAAUUUAUCUAAUUCUAAACAUUUGACUACACAAUAGCCUGACCUAUUAGAACGCAUAAACUGUAUGAGAAUCCUCCACUGGGGUGUAAGGAAUAAGACAUUAAACAUAAAAACAAUUACACACAAAAUAGCCCCGAUUUGUGGAAAUAACACACUGUCAGACACAUUUCAACAUUCCUACGUAAUAACACAUAAUACAAAACAAACUAAUUAAAUAUCAGUUGCAUAUCUCGAGACAAUUGGGAUAUUUUAUGUAUGUAUCUUUUGAAUCCUGGAGCACAGUCUUGAGGUUCAAAAGUGAGAAGAUGUCCUUGCAAUUCAACUCCACCCCCCUUUGUCAGGCCCACUCCCCCGGCAGUCUAUAUCCUUUGAAAGAGAUAGCUGUGGGCACUUUGAAACUUUGGUGUCUGUUGUUGUUGCAGGUCUUGUGGUGGCGAAGCUUUUCAUUGGAUCUGUAGUAACACAUUUGUAGAAGUGAUAUCCUGUAAGGGGCAGGGUUUUGAGGACUUAAAAGACAGAGUUAGAAAAGGGAAGGGGCAAAAGGCAAAAAGGAUGUCCUUCAGUUUCCGUUGGAAGCUGCAAAUAAUAAAAAUCUUAGUGGAUUAAGCAUUUCAUUCAUUCCAAUAUUAUUAUCACAUUUCCAUAUAAUUACUGUUAUUAUCUGCCAAGUUUGUUUGCUUUCCUUCACUUAGUUUGGCUGUGGAAGAAACGGAGGGACAAAACCUUUGUUAAUUUGAACACAAUUGGCAAGUUAUUAAACAUUUUGCUUAUGUGGGUCCGAGUUCACGUAUCCUGUUUUAAAGGGAAAUUUUUAUUUCCUUUGAAAAUCUCUGUCAGGAAUGCUGUUCCUAUAAUGCACACAAAGCCUGUUAUAAAAGUUAAAUCCCAUUGGGGGUGGGAGAACUAGUCAAGAGUGGAACUCACAGUGGGAGCGCUUUGAUAUUUACCUGUGAAAAGAAUUUGGCAUGUUAAGAUUUGAAACCUGGAAACCUCUUGACUUUUGAUGGGCUAGUACUUGACCCUUUUGUCUUACGUAGCCCCUGGAGCAAAGGACACAUUAAGGGUGAUUUCCCUCAAUGGUUCCAAGUUUUACAUAAGGAAAUUUGGAUAAGUUUCUCCCUGCAGCCCAAGCUCUCGAAACCUCCUCUCCCCCCUUACAGUUCCCCCCUUCCUCUCUCUUUCUCUCUCUCUCUCUCUCUUUCCUCCCUCCCCCCUUUUUUUUAGCUGAUCUAGCCUCUGUGUAUGUGCAGAGUUCAUGUCUCAGCAAACCUUUUAUACUAUUGAAAAUGUUGAAUCUUUGGGCUAAAUUACCAUUUGAGUAAGGGAAGGGAAGGGUAAGGAGUAGAUUUUAAAAAUAGGGUUAGAUUUUAAAACAAAAAAGAGAAACUCAGCGAUUCAAGUAUUCACCAAAGCUAGCAAUUGCAGCCCAAGCAAAGGGACUGCUUCCUUUAUGUACAGGAAAGGGCUAAUAUCCCUCUGGCCAUUCGCGGAACAAUGCCACGCCCUUAUAUAUGGGAAAAAAUGGCCAGAGAGUCAGAAUUCAUAGGAUUUUUUUUUAACAUUCUCAGUCAUUUCAGCCUUACCAUUUGCAGACAAAAUUUUCCUGCCCUUUAUUUACAGGAUGGUCAAGGCUACUCAAUUAUAUGUCAAGGCUCAUUCUACUUGAUUAUAUGAAUUUGUAUGUGCUUAAACUCUGAGUAGACUUUUAAGUCUGAUUUUUGUAAAUAAUAGACAAAAUGAUAAACACUGUAAUCACUCAAAUGCCUGAUAUCACCAGUUCUGCUUCAAAACAUCACAGCUUUCACCUCACACCUUUUAAAACUAAAGAGCAAAGCUAGGCUGAAUUUCAACUCCAUCACCACACCAGAAUUUAAGAAUUACCCUCCAAUGCUUGCAGACACAUGUCCUUCCACACAGCCAGAAAUUGGGAGAGUUGAAAAGGGACCCUGGGGUCAUCUAGUCCAACCCUCCAAAAUAUAGGGUUCAUAGCAAGUUUUCACAGCAAGAUUUGUACUACCAAAGAGACAUACACAUUUAAGUACAGAUUUACAACUGGGAAAGGAAACAUCUAUGCUCCUAUCAUGUACUAAGGAAGAGGAAAAUAAAAGUACCCAACUUUAUAAGGAACCCUUUUAGCAGAUCUUGAAGCUAGUUUGAGUGAGAGUUUACUUCCUUAGACUAAAGAGUGCAAGUUUCUAGAGAAAUUAUCUUUAAAGGAAGAUUGAAGUGAACAUUUUUUCUAAGAUAGGGAGAGGGUCUUUAUUAAGCAUAGUUAAAACAGCCAUAGAUUUGAUUUUAAAGGGAAUACAAAAGUGAACAAUUUUUAUUUCCUUGAACUUGCAGAGGAAUAGCAAGCCUAUUUUAGAUUAUUAUUAUUUUUAAUAACUACACAUAGGAAAGUGAGAUGCAGGGUACCUUAGGAAAGAUUGCUCCCCCCUCUUUGCAGUUUCCUUUAAAGGAAGCUUACUCGGGAGUAAAUUUACCUGGCACAGAAGUAAGAAGGGGAAAAAACCUGAAAGAUACAGAAUGAAACAGGGGGGGGCAUUUUCUAAGAAAAGAGGCCAGGAAGUCUUAUAGAGACUGAUAUCAGGACUGGACUCAGAUAGACAAUUUUUGCUGGCCAUGGAAACCUCUACAUUUAAUAACAAUUUUUCUCAGAAAGAACACCAUACUUUCAUAGGCAUAGGCUUAAUGAAAUACAUACACUGCAUUUUAGCUUGAGAGAGCAGUUGGCUCAACUAGGCUUUUGCAGCAGAAACAUUAGUUUCUUCACAGCACAUCUCAAAAUACUGGAACAAAAAGACUGGAACUCAUAAACUCAAAAGUUGCAGCAAAACAUCAUCUACCAUCAACUUAAAAUCAUACUCCUUACUUAAGCUACUCGGAGGAAGACUCUUUGGAGCCUCUCUCAAAUAACAAACAUUUGCACACUUCAUUCUUCUUCCUUUUUUAUUUAUUUAUUUAUUUUUUGUCCUGUUUAAGAUUGAUAAGGCCCAACAUGGCUUUCUUAGAUUUAAAAUUUUUGAAGCAAGCUUGCAAUUUAAAAACUAUGUGCAUUUAAGAACAGUCUGUGGAUGCAGAGGCCAAUGUAAAUACAAACCCUUGAAAUAUUUCUAAAUCUUUGAAUACAUCUCUUAUUCAUUUUUUUAAAAAAAUUAUUAUUAUUAUUAUUUUUUAGAGAAACUAAGAUCUCUAAUGCGUGGGCUCUCAGGCUGGGCUGUUAUUAUAUCUACUACCUUCUGAGCACCAUUAAAUUUACGGUUUCAUGUUCUAGCUUUAGGUUAUAGUUUAACAACACAAAUUUGAUGUGUUCAGCUCUCCCUAAGGGUUCACACCCUGAUUUUGUUGAAGGAUCCCUGAGGUGGCCGCUGUGCCCUGGGUUCCAGGUGGUGGGCCUAAGCCACCCACUAAAAGUUACAACAGUCUCGUACUUUGUACUUGGAAAGACCAUUUUGCCCCUUUAUUUUAUUUUUAUUUUUUCCCAAUUGGAGAUGACAAGCUGGAGGGGCGUAUCAGAAUCCUCUCUGGGGCAAAAAGGCUUCAUGGAAGCUUUGUUGCCAGGAGGAGUCCAGCUAGGGGGUUUAGUGAGCUCCCAUUUCUCUUUUGGGGGGGGGGGGUUGCUCAGUAGAUUAGUACAGUUGUCGGGGCUUCUCAUCUGCCAGGUAAGACCUAAGUGCUUGCAUCUUCACGAGAUUAAAGGAACCGUGAGGUGGCCAUUGCGAGGCCGGCUCGAGGUGUUGGGUAAAGCGACCCACGAGAUGUUGCAAAGGUCCCUCAGUUUGGACUUUGAGAGUCCCUUCCUCCCUCUCAACUCUUUCCAGUUUAAGAGAACAAAUUGAAGAGGGGUAUCAGAGUCCUCCCUUGGGCGGAAAGGCUCCGCGGAAGCCUUAUCGCCUGGAGGAGUCCAGCCUGAAUGCUUGGAAGCAUGGGCCCCCAUUCUUUUGCAGUACACUAAAGACAGAAAAAGUGGACAGAAGGGGCAAUGGAAAAGGAAAAGAGGGGCAGGUAAAAAAGGGGAAAAAAUAUCCUUUCAGUACUCGAAGUAUCCUUGACUAACCCAAUUUCUACCUAUCUGUAAGUCACAAAUUACUUUCAGGAAAAUCUCAGACAUGAACCUAAAACAAAAACCACGGGUCUCCUCGCCCGAAACUCAAACCACGGGUCUCCCUGCCCGAAACUCAAACCACGGGUCUCCUCGCCCGAAACUCAAACCACGGGUCUCCUCGCCCGAAACUCAAACCACGGGUCUCCCUGCCCGAAACUCAAACCACGGGUCUCCUCGCCCGAAACUCAAACCACGGGUCUCCUCGCCCGAAACUCAAACCACGGGUCUCCCUGCCCGAAACUCAAACCACGGGUCUCCUCGCCCGAAACUCAAACCACGGGUCUCCUCGCCCGAAACUCAAACCACGGAUCCGGAAUUCCUUUGCCUCAGCGCUGUUUACAAGACUAACCCUAGUGUGGGGCCCCAAUUUGUGAACCUCCCGCUCUGCUCUCCACGACAGCCUCCUGCCUAGCCUUUAGACUAAAUUCGGGCUCCCUACUGGACGCCUGCGCAAUGCAGUGCCAGAUUGAGGUCCGAGAAAACAAAGUUUAGAAAGGAAGCAAAUGACCUUGCGUUCUCACGUACCCGGGUCAUCCCCAACAAGGGUCACCGAGCAGGGGGGGGCGGCUUCAUUUGCGUAAGCAGGGGAGAGAGAGAGAGAGAGAGAGCAGGAGAGAUUUGGAUGGACGCCUCCGGACGACUCCGAGGGAGGAUGUCAGAGAAAUGCCAAAGUACCGCACUUUUCCCCGGCCACACUCCGAAAGGGAAAAACGGGGAGAAAAGGAGAGAGGGAGGUUUUGGAUGGACGCCUCCGGGCGACUCCGAGGGAGGACGUCAGAGAAAUAGCAAAGCACCGCGUUUUCCCUGGCCCAGCUCCGAAGGGGAAAACGGGGGAGAAAAGGAGAGAUCUUUUUAGGACGUUCCUGGACGACUCCGAGACGUAACGUCGGAAAGCAGCAAAGGUUCCGCAAUUUCCCCGGCCCAGCUCCGAAAGGGAAAUAGGGGAGAGACAGAGAAAGUUUAGGACGUUCCUGGACGACUCCGAGAGGUAACGUCGGAAAGCAGCAAAGGUUCCGCAAUUUCCCCGGCCCAGCUCCGAAAGGGAAAUAGGGGAGAGACAGAGAAAGUUUAGGACGUUCCUGGACGACUCCGAGAGGUAACGCCAGAGAUAGAAGGAAGAAAAGGUCCAGCUGUCGUGGGGACGUUGCUUUCCACCCCCCUCCCAAUGUAUUUUCUUCAAACCAUACUCACGUUCGUAGAUGUCCCUCGUGGAUCCCGGGAUCCUUUCCCCUUAGCCGGCUUGACCUUGCCUUUGCUUCCCCUGGUUGAGCUUUUGGUGACGAUUGAUUACCGCCCGCAAAGAGGAGGCAGGGAGAGAAAGAAGGAUUCCUGGGCUAAGGUUGCCCAGUGGCGCCUGAUCCCCUCUAUCUCCCUCCUCACCUUCGCAGGAGAACCAAGUGUCCCUGAGCACGGUCGCCAACUGUUAACGGAAAAUCUGAGGGCUCCCUUGGACAAAAACAAAGACACCAACCAGAGCAAUUGGAAGCAAAUCAGCAGCCAGUAGGCUUGGUCUUUAUUGAAGAAAAGACUGUUGCAACAGGGUGUUCCCCUCACUUGCAGGAGAGAGGAAAGACCCAGAAAGAUGGUGUGCAAGACCUUAUAAAAACUUUUGAAAUUCCCCUCCUCUAGGUCAAGCCCACCCCCAGAAACAUCAUGCAUACAUUACAGAAAGGAGGGGUGACAUCAUGAAAGGAGGAGGAGUUGUGGUGGUAACCUGAGUGUCCUGUCACCUGGCUGGUUCCUCCUUCCCCCUGCCCAUGAGUCACUUCCAGGAGACAAAGGGGAGUUGGCAGUUUCCUGCCCCCAGAGGGAAGAUCUGAUCAUUGUCCUUUGUUUCAGUCCAUGCUGAAUCCACUCCCAUAUGCAAGUUCUUUGUGAUCUUGAUGGUCUUCUGUCUAGGACCAUCAGGGUUGGCAUAGCAACUGGGCAGGGCUCCUGUGGAUGUGCUGGGAUGGUGAAGGGAUUAUGGCUGACCAGAACCAAGCCACCCCCCUUUGAUAGUCCUUGUCAUAUGGAGUAAAAUAAAAAUGGAACAGUGCAAAUCCAAUGUAUGGUUGAUUUUUCUAUGAAUUUAUAACAGAAGUGUGACAUAUGUAGUGUGNNNNNNNNNNNNNNNNNNNNNNNNNNNNNNNNNNNNNNNNNNNNNNNNNNNNNNNNNNNNNNNNNNNNNNNNNNNNNNNNNNNNNNNNNNNNNNNNNNNNCAUUGUUUACCUCCUGUCUGGCAGGUUACCUGUUAAUGCUUACUUGAUUGGAUUACCUGGGGAGCCUGGCCAGUCUAUUGCAAUGACAAAUACUUAGUUCCUGAGCCAGGUCACAGGCUCACCCUAUUCAGACAUAGACAUACCCUUAAGACAGGAUUUCUGAAAGAAAAGACAAUGGGGAGGCUUUUCCAUUUGACUUUGACAUUGCAGAGAAAAAAAUUGAAAAUGGUUUCAGGGCGGUCCUCCUGUGCUGCUCCAGAAAUGUGGUCCACACAACUAUGUAUGCGCUUGGUUGGUACAUUUAUGAACAUUUUAUAUAUAUAUAUAUAUAUAUAUAUAUAUAUAUAUAUAUGACCUUAAAUUUUUCAUUUCAGAGGAGAUAUGAGAGCUGUCUUCAAGCAUCUGAACGGCUGUCGCAUGGAAGAUGGUACAAACUUGUUUUCUCCUGCUCUGGAGGGUAGGACCCGAACCCAUGGCUUCAAGUUACAAAGAAAGGAGAUUCCGACUAAACAUCAGGAAGAACAUUCUGACGGCAAGAGCUGUUUGUCAGUGGAACGGACUCUCUCAGAAGGUGGUGAACUCGUCUUCCUUGGAGGUUUUUAAGCAGAGGUUGCGUGGCCAUCUGCCAUGGAUGUUUUAGCUGAGAUUCCUGCAUUGCAUGCAGUGGGUUGGGCUGGAUGACCCCUGGGGGUACCUUCAGACUCUACGAUGCUAUGAUUUUUCUCCCUCUUACUUAACUUUGCAGCUGGCAUUCAGAAUCACUGCUGCCUCCAGCUGCCUUCACGGUUAGCAGCCAUCCACCACCUCCUUCCUGAAUUUGCCUAACCACCCUUGUCCUGACCUAGCCAUUGUGAUUCAUGCGACGGUCACCUCCAG
rnacentral:lncRNA from 1 species